UUGAUAAAUCCUAAAACACGAAAGCAUCACAAGUGGCCAAUAUUAAACAUGAAAAAAAUCUGGCUAGACAGCAAUAGAAUGUCCAAUGUUUAUCACUUUUUAAACUUUUUUCAUUAAAUCAAUUCAAUUUGUUAGUCCUACAUUACUAAAACUAAAAAUAUAACAGUCUGAAACUAGAAGACUCUUAAAUAACUAAAUUAAAUCUAACAACAACAGAAUGAAAACAAUCUGUAACUUGUUCAGUUAUGUUAUGCAUCUAGUGUCUAUUUUCUAACAGUACUGCUUUGGUUCUCAAAUAGUAUUACUGUGCUCAAAUGAAACAAUCCUUAACUUUUUCAGUUGUAUCUUGUAUAAGACUGUAUAAACUGUCAGUGUGUACGAGUGUUUUAUUAUCUUCCUAAAUCUCUUUGACUUUUCAGAGUGGAAAUUCUCCCUCUCCAGUACGUCACAAAUGUUUGCUGCCAAAUCACCAAAGCUUUUUCCUGUUCACUCCCCACAAUUCAUCUGAACGUGCCAUCUGCUCUAGGUGUCAGUUAACAGUGAGCUCCCGAUCUCUCACAUCUUCUGAAGCCUUUUCAAGUUUAGGGAUUUCUAAAACAUCUGUUGAGGACUAAAGAGAGGAACGCAGCGUGGACAUAAACACAGCACAAUAGAAGAGGUUAAAGCUCAUUAGAGGGUUAUAAACAGUGAAUUAUUAUAAGAAUAUUUUUGGGAGUAUCAAAUUUAAAUCAGCCCAUAUACUCAAACACUGCGCUGAUCUAAAUAAACACUGCCGGGAACAAUUAGGAAAAGUUAGUGAAUGUUACAGACUUCAGGAACUUGGACUGUAAUAUCUCAUCUAUGACUGAUGCAGUGCUGGAGCCCUACACAGUUAUUUAACAAUUGCUAAAUCUACAUCCCUGGCCUACCCCAAAGUCAUUACGCCUGGCCUGUGGGCGGCGUGGAGAGAAUGAUGUCAUCAGGCACCCCUCCUUCAGGCACAUAUGUAGCGGAGCUUUAUGAGCUGUGGGGACUGGCAUAAACUGCGUCUAUGAACCUCACAAGCAGACUGAACUCUAGGCAGCGCACAAUGAAGCUCUAUUCAAGAAUGCAGCGCUGCCCCUUUAAGAACAUCCACUACUGAUGGCUCCGGGCUGCACAAGAAAUAUUCAACACCCACACACUGAUCAUUUGGCAAAGAGUCAAAAUGUACUAAGCAAUGGCAAGGAGCCCACCGCUUGAUUCUAGAGCAAACAUUUGUGCAUGUGUUCACAUGUUUUUGUUCAAAUCCACAAAGUAUAAUAGAGCUAUACAGUAUAUCCCUCGUUUACUGUAAGUCUACUUACUAGUACUUGUACAUAGUACUACUACUAUGGCUGCUUACUGUAAGUCACUAGGCGUGUAAUUUUAGUUGCCCGUUACUCAACAUGUUUGGAUGUGUGUCUGAACAACAAAGCUGAACUCUUGUAAAUGAGUUCUUGAUGUCCAAUGUCCUUGACCAGCUAUUAGUUAUACAACAUGUGAUUAUUCCUCUCAGUAACACAGUAUUCUGUGUUAUUAGGUAGGUAUUCCAUCAGAAGUCAAUGACAGGCCAAUGCACAAUAUGCUGAUGUUUUUUUUCAGCAGGAUACAGGAAGUCGGGCAUGUGAAAUGUGGUGAACUAGGAAAGCGCCACUGAUGCAUAAUAAAUGACAGGAGCUGGACUACUUUACCAUUCUGCCAUUUAUCAGUGUGUUCUCUGAUGGUUUGUCUUGUAUGCAAAAACAAGAACACAAAAGCAGAAGUUUUGCAGAACAGUUUUGAAGUAGAAGCAAAUAGUGACUAUGAUCUGUCAAGCUCCAAAAAGAAUAAAUGUCAUCUGAUGACUGAUGACAGACAGGCACCCACAACUGAGAGACAGAUAAGAGAGGACAGCGGUCUGGUGUCUAUGGAUCCAGCAGAUGGGUGACGUCUCGUGAACUCUGACCUCACACACACCAGUCACAUGUGGUCUCCUCCAAAAGCACACACUGGUGUGAAGUUUGAGAUGCCUCUGCGAUGAGAGCUACUUCAUUCAACAGCACUGUUAAUACUCUUUCACACACUGUAGGCUUAAAACAAGACAUAACUGAAUGUGUGAUGAAGGUUUAUACUUAUAUUUGCCACCAUACUUUAUCUUAGUCAAGCUUGUUAUUUCGAAACAGUCAGCUACUGUACAUGAAUGCAACAGUAUGACAAUUCUAGCACUUUCUUUAAAUCUAUUUUUAGCUCUAAAAAUUUAAAGUAUGUUGUUUAUGGACUCACGAUAAGACUAAAUGUUUACCACAUAUGCUGUGGAUAUGAAAUAAAGACACAAUGAUAUUCUCAAGUGUGUGAAUCAACAGGAGAGAUAUUUUUGUUCAGCGAGUGGGAGCGUCUGCAUGAUAACGGUUCAUGUUAAUAAUGCACCGCGGUAUUUUGUUCAUCAAACGAUUAAGGCAAAUUAAGAACUGAUGGAGAACCUCUGAGCGUUUUACAACCAUGUUAUGAAAUGAAAUGUAAAGUUAAAGUCACAUUCAUGUUAAU